UUAUUUCAGGUCGUUCCCCUGAAUAUAUGUCAUGGUUUAAGCCAGCUGGCCACCAAGACCUGUGGAGCUGCUCACUCAAUCCCCCUGCAGAAGACUGGGGGGAGAGUUGGAAGGGUAAAAGCCAGAAAAUUUGUGGGUUGAGAUAAAAGUUUAUGGGGAAGGUGAAAGCCAUGCACACAAGCAAUGCAAAACAAGGAAUUCACUUGCUUCUUCCCAUGGGCAGGCAUUCCUGCCCUUUUUUUCUUUAAAUCUGUGGUAACACACUCUAAACUGCUGAACUACAUUCAUGCAUAUAAAAAUUACACCUUCAUUUUGCUGGCUAUGAGGCAAACAAUUGAGUGUCCAGUCUGAAGGCAGUGGAGGAAUUUUGUACACAAGAAGAAAAGCAAAAGGAAAUAAAAGGUUGCUGUCUUAAGAUGGGUAAAGAAAAUGGGAUGUUAAAGGGCUAGAUUACAAAAAAGUGGGCUAUCAUUAGGUAAUUUUCCCUACUGCCUGAUUUCCUUUUGCUCCUCUAUCUUAGUCAGAUUAUGCUAAAUAAUAGACAUUAUGCUAAAUGACAAAACAAAUGGUAAAGACCAGCACAAGAACUUCUCAUGUAGAAGUGCCAGAAGUGCAACUUUGUAAAGUUGUAUUUUUUCCCUUUUUCCCCAAUAGUCUAAAGAUGCUCUUACGAAGAGUAUAUGCUUGUGAAGAAAAGUGGGCUUCUAAUGGAACUAAACCAUAAUUUAUUUUUAUGGCUUGCGAUGUUAAGUAAUUUUACUUAACAUGCCAUUUUUGAAACUAAAUGCAUGACAGAAGGAAAAGCAUGAGACACAGCAAAUGCAUGAAGGAAGAUUUAUACUGAAAAAUAAACUGCUGCUCUGGUUCACUGACACCACAUUCCUCCAGCGUUAGGCAACUCUUGCAGGAAGCUUCAUAUUCCUACUUCUGCCUCAAACCAGCCAAUUUCUAGGAGAAACAUCAUGCAAGUAAUUGCAUUUGCCUGCAAAGCCUGGGUCACUCUGUUGCCAAAUGAUGAGAUUCAAGGCCUAGAAACUGGGAUCUUUGCAAAUUGCGUGCCAGCUACAGCCAGGAUUCGGGUGGGCUCUUUUGCAAACCAUUUGUCUCAUCUAAACAAAUCUGCCAGUUGUCAUUUUCCUAUUUUCUCUUUUUAAAUCCACCUACUAUAAUUAACCUAGGAAAUGCCUAAAGAAAUGCCACCAAAAAGAAAUUUCUCCUUGACAAAUACAGGUUUUUGGAGGAGGAAAGAAAAAAGAAAGUGGGAUACAGAAAAGGACUGGCAGUUCUAGACAGACCAUGACUUCUAUCUGUGAGAUUUUCAUAGUUGAGAAUAAUAAACCUGAGGUUUUAUUUCAAUAGAUAACAUCGGCUAUUAAAAACCAAAUAAACCAGAUCUACAGACUAUCUCUCACCAGUACAGCUGCUCAGGUAUACAUGAGUAGAUGAAAUAUGUUACGGGUAUCCCUGCUGAAAUGUAAAAUGCAAGUGCUGAGAAGCUAACCAAGCUGUAUGAAAGCAUACCAGCUGGGCUGAGACGGCAAAGGAGGAAGGUCAGGAACUCUGAAAAGAAGAAGGAUCAAUACCAAAGUCUUGAGAGGAAUACAUUCAAGUCCUACAGAGAAAAAGAAAACUA